UAACGUAAACAAACCCUUCGAGCUCCAAGAAGGCCUCGUGUUGUGGCACCGUAAACACGUGCGAGAGGAGAAGGGAGUGGAUAUUUAUUAUAGGAAAUAAUAAAAAUAAUUCAAAAUGGUGGCCAAAAGGAGAAAGUCGAAGAAGGUGACCCUCAAGAAGAAAUACAUGAUUGAGAAGAAGGUGCGAGCUCAUAAGAAGAAGCAGAAGAAGCUGCAGAGGAAACAGCCGGAGCUCUUCAAAA